GCUAAGAUUUUUUAACUUCGGUAUCUCCCAUCGACAUUUAGACCUUCUCCUUUGACCCUGGUUAGUUUCGCCGGGGUUUUU
rnacentral:ncRNA from 1 species